UUAAUUCACUUUCAUUUUCAUUCUUUGUGCUGGCUGACUGUGACUUCUCGUCGUGUCGUCGAUAACAACUGGAUCGCAUCUUCUCUUUUCAACCAAAAUCCCACGGUAUCCAGUGGAUAAGACAUUAAAGCGUGUUUUUCUGCCACAGCUUUAAUAAAGUUUGGCAAGACAAAUCGAAACGAUAAUUCGCAAACGAUGACUUCCUUAGACAUGAGCCCCGCGUCUAAGAAACAGGUGGAUGGAUUCUCCAAAAAAAUCACCAAGGAGGCCGAACAGUUGAUCUCAAACUUCUUCCCUGAGAAGAUUGCAGAGAUGGACAACAUCUUACAGGUAU